CACGAAAGCAGGUUUGCGGAUUUCACUUUAAUCUGCAGUGCCACCUUGUGGUUAUCAAUAAAGACCGCACCCAGGGCAGGAAGAGGCUAUGUAACUGUAGUUCACAUUCAAAUGUGGCCAAGGAAGGAUGAUGCAAGCAUGUGCUUUCUUUCCCUGUAGCUGGGCCCGAAUGAGGGGAAUGGAAGAGUUUUAUUUCCAAGACCUGGAUAGAAGAUUUUUGAUUCCAAAUGUAUCAAACAACAUUGACCAUCACAGUCAGUACAGUUUCAUCACUACCAUUUUUGAGCAGCACCUUCACAUGUGCAGAGACUCAUCCUUUCAUGGUGAUCUCAGAGAUAAAAAUAUAGCCAUGGGGCACGAAGAAGGCUAA
rnacentral:lncRNA from 1 species